rnacentral:rRNA from 1 species
AUUAUGAGCUUGUCCUGCUCGAUGAAUUUUUCAAUAGCCGCAGUACUUUGACUGUGCUAAGGUAGCAUAAUCAUUUGGCCUUUAAUUGGGGUCUAGUAUGAAAGGAAUGACUUGGGAAUCACUGUCUCAGCUACACUAAUAUAAAUUUUUUCACGAGGUGAAAAUACCUCCAAAGAAAGACGAGAAGACCCUUAGACUUUUUAUUAAAUUAUUGUACAAUAAAAAUUUAUGUUGGGGCGACACUGAAUCGGAUUGAUUAUAAAUCUAAAAUAUUAUUUAAGGUACCUGAGGGAUAACAGCAUAAUUAUUUUAAUACAUUGUGACCUCGAUGUUGGACUAGGAAAUAAUUUUUAAGAUAAAAAUUAUAAUUAGUUCUGUUCGAACUGUAGUAUCCU